AUACGGAGGGUGCGAGCGUUAAUCGGAAUUACUGGGCGUAAAGGGUGCGUAGGCGGCUUGAUAAGUCGGAUGUGAAAGCCCCGGGCUUAACCUGGGAAUUGCAUUCGAUACUGUCAGGCUAGAGUAUGUCAGAGGUUGGCGGAAUUCCUGGUGUAGCGGUGAAAUGCGUAGAUAUCAGGAGGAACACCAGUGGCGAAGGCGGCUAACUGGGGCAAUACUGACGCUGAGGCACGAAAGCGUGGGGAGCAAACAGGAUUAGAAACCCCAGUAGUCC
rnacentral:rRNA from 1 species